UACGAAGGGGGCUAGCGUUGUUCGGAAUUACUGGGCGUAAAGCGUAUGCAGGCGGAUCGAUAAGUCGGGGGUGAAAUCCUGAGGCUCAACCUCAGAACUGCCUUCGAUACUGUCGAUCUUGAGUCCGGGAGAGGUUAGUGGAACUGCGAGUGUAGAGGUGAAAUUCGUAGAUACUCGCAAGAACACCAGUGGCGAAGGCGGCUAACUGGCCCGGUACUGACGCUGAGAUACGAAAGCGUGGGGAGCAAACAGG
rnacentral:rRNA from 1 species